UUGUUCGGUCCUGUUUUCAUUUGCGCCAUGUGGUUUUCGAAAAAAACAUUUUUGCUGUGAAAAAAAUGAACUGUUUUUCCCGCACUAUCCACAAAUCGAAGUGCCUUUUUGGGGGAACUGAUCGACUAGCUGCUGCACAACAAACCGUUGGAACCAGUCAGUUGAACCACCUCCCAGCUCACAAAGGCGCGGACAUCGAGGAUUUACACUGGUUGUUGGUGUUCCGGAAUAGAAUCGACGACACAAGCCAUUUUGUAUGAGCCGGAUGCUGGACAAGGUCAGAGCUGGAUCCGGAAGUGGAACUCCGAUGGGCGGAAACCAGAACAGUGCUUAGGCCAACGGAACCUGAAUGAAUUCGGCCGCCAAGAACCUAAACCGGGAUUUGCUGCAACAGCGAGGAUCGUUUCCAACUAAAAUCUCCAACCCCGUUCCGUACCAGAGGCAACCAGCAGCAAAAUGGUCCCCCGAAGGCCAAUGUCAUCAAUGAUGAGAAGCUGAUCUACUGUGCAUCAAUGGCAACCGUGUCUUAACCGCAGACAUAUAGCCCCAGACCAGCAAAGGCCUAGAAGGUACAGCGAGAACUCUUUCCGAACGCUGUCGGGCGCAUCCACCUCGACUUCUACGGACUUUCGAUGGACCAUCGCAUUCUUCACGAGCGGCCAGAAACUUGGUACCGGCUGGUCUAAGAGAUGACUGGCCGAAUUAUCUUCACCAGUACAACAACAGCUGCUCUGAGCCGCAAGUGUAAGUGAUUUUGUUCGUUUGUUAUAUUUACAUAUACUUAUAUCACAGACUUAUGUCUGUGCUUAUAUGUUUAAAGUUUUUCUUUUGAUUUAAUGUUUAAACAAAUAUUUAAGUCUGUAUAGCAAUAUGCAUGAUAAUGUUUUAAAAAGGCUUUCCUUCUGAUUUCAAACACUUGAUUUGAUUAAUUUGUUUGUAGCAUAAAAUCAUACAUUUCAAGUCAACACUUGAUAAAAAUCUAAAAAUUAGAAAUUUACGAAUAUUGACUGUUGGAAAUUAAGAAAAUUUAAAAUUUCAAAUUUGGAAACCUAAAAAAAAUAAAUUUUUAAAUUGAAAGAUUUGAAAUUCUAAAGGUUGGAAAUUGAAAAGUUGCAAAUUGAAAAAAAAUUGUGCUAUUUGAAAAUUUUAAAAUUUAGGCAUUUUGAGCAUAGAAAAUAAGGAAAUUUGUAAAGUUGGAAUUUUGCAAAUAUAAUUUUGAAACAUGGACAUAGAUUAAUUUGUGAAUUUCGAAAAUUUCCAAUUUCUAAAUUGCAAUUUGGAGAUUUGUAAACUUAGAAAUUUUUCAACAUGAAAAUUUGUGAGAUUAAGAAAUUUUGAGUUAGUUAAACUGCAAACUUAGAAAUUUUUAAAGUAGACAGGUUGAAAAUUUUGUUAUCUUACGAUUUUGCAAUUUGAAAUUAAAAAUUUGUAAAUAUGAAAAAUCUAAAAUUUGACAAUUCUAAAAUUCUGAAAAUUUAUUUUUUUAAUUUUAGUAUAUUUCAGGGGCGCCGACUUUGGGGGGGCACAGCACUUUUUGCCCCCCCUAAAAUUUGGCUGGGGGGGCAGCCCAUACAUUGUGCCCCCCCAGAAAUUUUGGAAGUAAAAUAUUCUUAUUUCAAAUAAAAAAAAAAACAGAAAUAAUUGAAAAUAAUAUCUAAAACUUAAAUGGAACAUUGUUUGUACACACUGAUAGAAUUCUUGUAAGCGAAUCCGCAAAAUAGUUCAAAAACAUUUGUUGUUUUCGAAACAUAUUAAAAAUUCCCCACAAUCAACAUUCUCAAUCUUGUUUUGAUAAAUUAUCUUUUUCUUGAAAAAAGGGAUUCCACUUGAAAAAAAUCUUAUCACAUCGUAAUAAAAUUAUUAAAAUUCGUGAUAUACAAUAAACUUUAACAUCUAAUCGCCAGUCUUACCUAUCGAUUCCAAAAACAACCGUGCCCCCCCAACAUAUUGGACUAGUCGGCGCCCCUGGUGAAAUUUUUAAAAUUUGGGUACGUACUAAAAAAAUUGAAGUAAAGAAAUUACGAAUUACAAAUUACGAAUUACGAAUUACACACAUCCCCACAGACAUUUGUUCAGAAUUUGAUUCUGAGUCGAUAGGUAUACGUGAAGGUAUAUCUAGGAGUCGUAUUUAAGAAGUUCAUUUUUCGAGUGAUUUUAUAGCCUUGCCUCAGUGAGGUGAGAAAGGCAAAAAAUAAAAAAGGAUGAUAAAAAUAAAAAUUAAAAAAUCAGAUAUUUAAAAAUUUCAAAAAUGGAAAUUUGAAAUUCUGAAAAUUAGCAAAGUUGUAAUGUUGAAAUUUAAUUUUUUUGUUUUUGAGAUUAAAUACGAAUAUUUGAAAAUUCGUAAAUUUGGGAAUUUAAAAUCUGGAACUUUGAAAAUUGUAAAUUUGAUAAAAUCUUGAGAAAAUUAAAUUGGAAACUGAGAUUUUUUUUAAGUAAAUGAUGGGAAAAUGAUUGUGACCAUGACUUAACGAAAAUAAUGGACUAAAUGAAAAGAAUGCCUGGUAUAA